rnacentral:piRNA from 1 species
UACUAUCUAAAAUGGCUUGUCCCUGGGCA